GUACUACUCUCUCCGUUCCAUAAUUCUUGUCGAAAUAUUACAUGUAUUUAGACACUUUUUAUGAAUAGAUGCAUUCAUUUUUAAGCAAUUUUGAGACAAGAAUUAUGAAACGGAUGGAGUAAAUG
rnacentral:pre_miRNA from 1 species